rnacentral:rRNA from 1 species
GUCUUUUUGAAUUAUUAUAUAAAGUCCAAUCUGCUCACUGAUUUUUAAAGAGCCGCAGUAUAUUGACUGUGCAAAGGUAGCAUAAUCAAUAGUUUUUUAAUUGAAAGCUGGAAUGAAAGAUUAGACGAGAAUUUUGUUUUCUUUAUUUCAAUAAAUUUAAUUUUAAUUUUAAGUGAAAAUGCUUAAAUUUUUUUAAAAGACGAGAAGACCCUAUAGAUUUUUAUUGUUGAAAUAAAUUUUAUAUUUUUAUUUAAUUAGAUGAUUUAGUUGGGGUGAUUUUGUAAAAUAAAAAACUUAAUUUUUUGAUACCAUAAAUAAUUGAAUUUUUUGAUCUAAAAAUUUUAAAGAAAGAUUAAGUUACCUUAGGGAUAACAGCGUAAUUUUAUUUAAGAGUUCAUAUUUAUAAUAAAGUUUGCGACCUCGAUGUUGAAUUAAGAUAAUAUAUUGGAGUAGAAAUUAAUAUAAUUAGUCUGUUCGACUAUUAAAUUCU